AUACAGGGAAGACUUAAUAUCUAAAGUCUUUCUGAUGAUGUAGUGGAGAAACAGAAAAAUUCUGAGUAAG
rnacentral:snoRNA from 1 species